AGACAACGGUGCUGGCCGUGGAGUAAGACUGACACAGACAUCUCCACUCUCAGUGUUACUCUGGACUGAGCCAACCCUACUGCCAUCUACCCUGAAAUGCUCAAAUGACUGACGCCUCAUCUCUACCAACACCAUUGAAGCUCUCUGCUGAAUGUGCAAAUCUCCACAAUGUGCACAUCUUUGAGAGAGAAACAAGGACCUUAGUCAAGGGAGGCCACUGAGAACAGUUUACAGAUGGGGCUAUUUCCGCAGUUGCAUUCACGAUACAGAAAAACCACAGAGAAUGUGUAUGUGACAGAUAACCUCAUGCCACAGAUGCACAGAUAGAAUUCAGCCUGGAAAGGGAAAGAGAAAAGAGGAUUGGAUACACAGUGCCCAAAACCAUCUCACAUGGCUUCCCCUUGAAUAGUGCUCGCAGCGGAUGAGGUGAGUCCUUGAGCAAUGACAGCCCUGACUUGCUGUUGGCGAUUCUUCCACCUACAUUAAUACAAGCCAACCUUCCAUUGGAUCUGGGGGACCAGUACUGUGUCUGCCUCUGCGGCUGAUGGCCUGUGUGCUGUAUGGUUUGGAGAGACUACGCAGCCAUGUAGAGCCUCUGCCUUUAGCUGAUGCCUCAUAGCUCUGGCCAUUUCCAGCAUCUUGGAGUGUUCUCUGUGACCCAUUUUUUCCAUUCUCACUGCUUCAUGAAAUGGCCUCUCACAGUUUUGCAGAGGGCCACCGACCAUAUAUUGCUGGGCCUCAGCAGCUCUCUGACACUUUGGAGGAAGGAUUCAGGAGCUUCUCUCUUGUACCAGAAAAGUUCCAGCUUUCGCAGGGGCCUCAGAAGGAGCUUUGUAAAAAUGAAAAACAAAACCCUGAACUCUGAUGAGGACCGUCCGGUCUCUGCCAGCAGCUGUAGCGGAACUGAAAGCAUAGGAAGGGAGGGGCCCAGGAAAACUGAACCUCUGCUCCUCAGGCAUCUUUGAGAGCGAGUGGCCAGGGAUCCGAGGUAUCUUCCUGCACCCAGGAACUGGAAAGAGCAGGAAAGUGCCCCUGGGGUCCUGACUGUGGUGUCCUUAUAAGCAAGAAACCGACAGAGCUUGGGCUGACUCUGAAAGAACAGAACCCAAGACCUGAGAGGCCCCUGGGGCACUCUCCACCUUCUCCGUAGCUCAUCUCUAGCAGCUCUCCCAGGAGAUGCCAAAGCUUGGCUUCACUCCAGUACCUGGGAAGAAGGUGAGUUAUGGCAGAUGCAGUCUGCCUUCCAAAUGGUUUACAAAUGGCUUGUCUGCACCACAAGACGCUGGCUUGCCCAAAGGGCUCUAAACCAACAGCCAAGCCAUUUGUCUAGUGAGUGAAGCAACAGAGUUGAAGUGAAAGGAGAGGCUCAGGGCUGGAGCCUGGGAAAAAGACGCCCAUCUCAGGGGUUGCUCAGUGCUUGGAAGAGAGAUGGUGUGGUGCUGGCCUGUACCUUUUCUCUGCAGAUGUCCCCUAUAAAGCAUUAAGCC
rnacentral:lncRNA from 1 species